UACCUGCAGCUCGAGUGGUAACCGCUAUUAUUGGGCCUAAAGCGUCCGUAGCCGGUUUGGUAAAUAUCUGGGUAAAUCGUGAGGCUUAACUUCACGAAUUUCGGAUAGACUGCCAGACUUGGGAUCGGGGGAGGUCAGAGGUACUCCAGGGGUAGCGGUGAAAUGUUGUAAUCCUUGGAGGACCACCGGUAGCGAAGGCGUCUGACUAGAACGAGUCCGACGGUGAGGGACGAAGCUCUGGGGCGCAAACCGGAUUAGAUACCCGGGUAGUCCAGGGUGUAAACAAUGUGGGCUUUGUAUUGGAGGUCCCACGUGGGCGUCCAGUGCAGAAGAGAAGUUGUUAAAGCCCACCGCCUGGGAAGUACGGUCGCAAGGCUGAAACUUAAAGGAAUUGGCGGGGAGCACAGCAACGGGAGGAGCGUGCGGUUU
rnacentral:rRNA from 1 species